UUGACGGUAACAGAGGCUGAAGCCCUCUUCUCAUCCGCAGGUCAGGUACAGUGUGGGCAAGUGCACUGUAGACUUCCUUACACUGCUCCACCAGUGCACCUCAAAGCAGACAUGGAAGGACCGCUAUCUAAUAGGGGUGAGAAGGUAAACGCAGUCCCUCUUUCAGGCUCCGAGUCCCAGCGUGUGCAUAGCAUCA
ensembl:misc_RNA